rfam:Lupinus angustifolius cultivar Tanjil chromosome LG06, whole genome shotgun sequence.
UUGUUUUCUGAUGUAGCAUCAUCAAGAUUCACAUGCAAAUGCUUGUGGGUGGGACUCUUAUGCAACUUGGUGUUCUUCUCAGUCUAUUGGUGUUUUCAGAGUGAGAAUCUUGAUGAUGCUGCAUCGGCCAUAAA